AAGCCAGCAAGGAGGAGGCAGCUAGAGUGGCCUCCACUGUUCUCUGCAGCAGAAGACCCCCUGCUGCCAGGUAAUCAAUCCAGCUUGCAUUCUGAAAGCAGGGAUACAUUCUUAGCUGCAACUGAAAAUCUCUCCUUCAAUCAAUGCAAGCAUGGUUAAAGUGCAGAAAUGGAAGUAUUCUACAAAUGUGUAGAUCUCAAGUGUGUAGCUCUCUCAUUUUCAGACAUGUUCUAGGAUUCCACAGCAAAUUUCCCCUUCUAAUCCGAAGAGUCUUCAGGUUUGAGAAGGCAUAAAUUUCACAACCCAACAUCCUGGUCCAUUUUUCUUUGUCUUGAUCUGAAUAAUAUUCUGGCAAAUCUCCAUGGUUCAUGUUUUGGAGGAAGGGAGAGAGGUUACUCACUGGAGAGGUUGUUGAUGGAGCUGAAGAUUUUACAGAAGAAAUAGCAGUAGUGGAGAUCACUUCUUCUGUAGCAGCCAUUUUGGGCUUAGCUGUUGAAGGUUUCUGAGAUGAGAACAGUAACCAAUAUUGGAACCAUUCUGAUUUAGCUGUUGAAAGGGGAACCUCUCCAGGAGGAGAACCAAGAUGUCCAGAUGCAUGCCGAAGCUUUGGAGGACUUCAUUCAAGGGGCCAAAACAUCGUUCUCUAGAUACUAUGCUGGCUUCCAGCAUUGGUCCAAACAAAGAAAUUGCCUCACAUGUUUUCUUUUUAUAGUGUUGUUUAAGGUUCUAUAUAAUUCAUUCAAAUGUAUGUGCAAGACCCAGUGUGGGCCUGUAUUCUGCUGAAAGCAACUAAAGAAUUAUACUGGGUU